rnacentral:tRNA from 1 species
UCUCAUAUGGUCUAGUGGUUAGGAUUCCUGGUUUUUGCCCAGGUUCAACUCCCGGUAUGGGAA